rnacentral:rRNA from 1 species
UACGUAGGGGGCAAGCGUUGUCCGGAUUUAUUGGGCGUAAAGAGCGUGUAGGCGGCCAGGUAGGUCCGUUGUGAAAACUGGAGGCUUAACCUCCAGCUGUCGAUGGAAACCAUCUGGCUAGAGUCCGGAAGAGGAGAGUGGAAUUCCUGGUGUAGCGGUGAAAUGCGCAGAUAAUCAGGAAGAACACCCGUGGCGAAGGCGGCUCUCUGGGACGGUACUGACGCUGAGACGCGAAAGCGUGGGGAGCGAACAGG